rnacentral:rRNA from 1 species
UGCUGGAGCGAAUAGAAGUGAGCAUGCAGGCAUGAGUAGCGAUAAUUAAUGUGAGAAUCAUUAACGCCGUAAACCCAAGGUUUCCUACGCGAUGCUCGUCAUCGUAGGGUUAGUCGGGUCCUAAGUCGAGUCCGAAAGGGGUAGACGAUGGCAAAUUGGUUAAUAUUCCAAUACCAACAUUAGUGUGCGAUGGAAGGACGCUUAGGGCUAAGGGGGCUAGCGGAUGGAAGUGCUAGUCUAAGGUCGUAGGAGGUUAUACAGGCAAAUCCGUAUAACAAUACUCCGAGAACUGAAAGGCUUUUUGAAGUCUUCGGAUGGAUAGAAGAACCCCUGAUGCCGUCGAGCCAAGAAAAGUUUCUAAGUUUAGCUAAUGUUGCCCGUACCGUAAACCGACACAGGUGGGUGGGAUGAGUAUUCUAAGGCGCGUGGAAGAACUCUCUUUAAGGAACUCUGCAAAAUAGCACCGUAUCUUCGGUAUAAGGUGUGGUUCGCUUCGUAUUAGGAUUUACUCCGAAAGCGAAGAAACUUACAACAAAGAGUCCCUCCCGACUGUUUACCAAAAACACAGCACUCUGCUAACUCGUAAGAGGAUGUAUAGGGUGUGACGCCUGCCCGGUGCUCGAAGGUUAAUUGAUGGGGUUAGCAUUAGCGAAGCUCUUGAUCGAAGCCCGAGUAAACGGCGGCCGUAACUAUAACGGUCCUAAGGUAGCGAAAUUCCUUGUCGGUUAAAUACCGACCUGCAUGAAUGGCGUAACGAGAUGGGAGCUGUCUCAAAGAGGGAUCCAGUGAAAUUGUAGUGGAGGUGAAAAUUCCUCCUACCCGCGGCAAGACGGAAAGACCCCGUGGACCUUUACUAUAACUUGACACUGCUAUUUGGAUAAGAAUGUGCAGGAUAGGUGGGAGGCUUUGAUUAUAUGACGUCAGUUGUAUAGGAGCCAUUGUUGAGAUACCACUCUUUCUUAUUUGGGUAGCUAACUAGCCUAAGUUAUCCUUAGGUAGGACAAUGUCUGGUGGGUAGUUUGACUGGGGCGGUCGCCUCCCAAAUAAUAACGGAGGCUUACAAAGGUUGGCUCAGAACGGUUGGAAAUCGUUCGUAGAGUAUAAAGGUAUAAGCCAGCUUAACUGCAAGACAUACAAGUCAAGCAGAGACGAAAGUCGGUCUUAGUGAUCCGGUGGUUCUGUGUGGAAGGGCCAUCGCUCAAAGGAUAAAAGGUACCCCGGGGAUAACAGGCUGAUCUCCCCCAAGAGCUCACAUCGACGGGGAGGUUUGGCACCUCGAUGUCGGCUCAUCGCAUCCUGGGGCUGGAGCAGGUCCCAAGGGUAUGGCUGUUCGCCAUUUAAAGCGGUACGCGAGCUGGGUUCAGAACGUCGUGAGACAGUUCGGUCCCUAUCUGCCGUGGGCGUAAGAAGAUUGAAGAGAUUUGACCCUAGUACGAGAGGACCGGGUUGAACAAACCACUGGUGUAGCUGUUGUUCUGCCAAGAGCAUCGCAGCGUAGCUAAGUUUGGAAAGGAUAAACGCUGAAAGCAUCUAAGCGUGAAGCCAACUCUAAGAUGAAUCUUCUCUAAGCUCUCUAGAAGACUACUAGUUUGAUAGGCUGGGUGUGUAAUGGAUGAAAGUCCUUUAGCUGACCAGUACUAAUAGAGCGUUUGGCUUAUCUUUAAUAAAGCAU